rnacentral:rRNA from 1 species
UACGAAGGGGCUAGCGUUGCUCGGAAUCACUGGGCGUAAAGCGCACGUAGGCGGAUCGCUAAGUCAGGGUGAAAUCCUGGAGCUCAACUCCAGAACUGCCUUUGAUACUGGCGAUCUUGAGUCCGGGAGAGGUGAGUGGAACUGCGAGUGUAGAGGUGAAAUUCGUAGAUAUUCGCAAGAACACCAGUGGCGAAGGCGGCUCACUGGCCCGGUACUGACGCUGAGGUGCGAAAGCGUGGGAGCAACAGG